rnacentral:rRNA from 1 species
UACGGGGGGGGCAAGCGUUGUUCGGAAUUACUGGGCGUAAAGGGCUCGUAGGUGGCCAACUAAGUCAGACGUGAAAUCCCUCGGCUUAACCGGAAAAGUGCCUUGGAUACUGGUGGUCUCGAGUGAGGUAGGGGCAUGUGGAACUUCUGGUGGAGCGGUGAAAUGCGCAGAUAUCAGGAGGAACACCGAUGGCGAAGGCAGGUCUCUGGGCCAUAACUGACGCUGAGAAGCGAAAGCAUGGGGAGCGAACAGG